UACGAAGGGGGCUAGCGUUGCUCGGAAUCACUGGGCGUAAAGCGCACGUAGGCGGAUCUUUAAGUCAGGGGUGAAAUCCUGGAGCUCAACUCCAGAACUGCCUUUGAUACUGGGGAUCUCGAGUCCGGAAGAGGUAAGUGGAACUCCGAGUGUAGAGGUGAAAAUUCGUAGAUAUUAGGAAGAACACCAGUGGCGAAGGCGGCCCACUGGAUCGGUACU
rnacentral:rRNA from 1 species